UGACAGUUGGAUUGGGACAUGCAAACUGUUUGAAGGUUAUUGAAGGUACCUAGCACACGAUAGUUUUUGGCUCCCAGGGAGAGGUUGGAUGAGGGUCAGGACAUAUCACAUAAGGCCUGUCAAUCAAAAAUUUGCAAGAUUUUUGUUUAAUAUCUAGAGAAAUUGGCCCUUAUGAGAUAAAGAAUAAUUGGUCACUUGAUUCCCCCUUAGAGACACUUCAUUAAUUCCCUCAAUUUAUUUGUUUCCCUUUUGUUUUUUAGCUAAACCAGCGCAACUAUUUUUCUAAUAUUCUUUAUAUUCAAAGUAUGUAAAUUGAGAAAUUAAGGGAGAACCUAUAAGAAACAUUUUGUAAGGGCAGUCUCCUGCUCUUGCUCAGUAGAAUUUAAUAUAGUUUUAUUGUCAACUCUAACUUUACUCUUUUUCUAUGUGAAAUAUCACAUAUUUAUUCUCCACUUUGUGCUGUUCACCAGAAAGGAUCUCUCUCUUGCAUCUCUCCUAGCUACAUUCCACUUUUGCACUUACCUGAAUCUUUUGCAUAUGGUAGUUGGAAGCUAAGGGAAGAGGGGUCAUUCUCUCAAGUUCUGGUUAAGCUGCGGUCUUAGGGAGGCGCUGUAAACACGAGUCCCCGAUGUGAGGCUUUCACAAACAUACAUGCCCCUCCUCCAAAGGUAAUGCUGGGCUUCGAACCGAUUCUGCCCUUCUCAAGGCACAGGUUUUUUUUUUCCUCUUCCUUCCUCUCUUGCAACCACAGUGGAUUCCCAUCUGUGCCCUCAAGCAACAGGUUUUGAUGAUCUUGCACUUUAAGGCUUUAUUCCACAUGGGAGUAAGAGAAGAUGACACUGAGUGGAUAUUAGGCAGUAGAUGCUGUUUCACUUCCCAGACAGAACCAUGAGAGAAGCUUUCCGAGGGUUUUGUCCAGUCUUCCCUGUGAGCACCUGGUGGGGUUCUUGAGGAAGAGGUUGCAAAAGGAUACAAAAUUACAUUUGCCUGUAUCCCCACGAGGCUUCCAGCUCUCAUGUUCACCCAUACUCAGACUUUAGCAAUUAUUUAAAAUUUUCUGCUUGCUGCUUCUUACCAGCUUAUAUUGCCACUACGUAUCUUAUGUCUCAGUCAGGGUUUGAGAAAUUCCACAGACAUUGAAUUCCAACUAAAUCUAUGUAGACCACUGCAACAGCCAUGAGGAUCUAGAUAUGCUGAGAUCAAGCUCUUUACGACAUGGCUGACCAGGCCUCACAACCUCUUCUUGAUCCAGGAGGAAUGAUCAAAUUGAUAAAUGAAAUUCAUGCUGAAAAAAAGAAAAACAGUCAAGAAGCAAUUGAAAAGGCUAAAGUUAGUAGAUAUAGAAAUUGGAAAAAAGAAAAAAGAGAGAGAAGGGAUGAAUAUCAGAGAGCAUUUUGUGGGGGAAAUUAUAGGGGAAAAAACAAGAAGGAAUCCUCAGCGUGAAUCCAGAAAACAAGGAGGUUCAAUGAUGACCCUAACGUGAAGGAUGAACAAUCAUGACAGGAACAAGAAAAACAGGGGUGCCCCACUUGGCAAUAAAGGAGACCUCAUGAAUUGGAUAUCUGAGCACCGGAUGCACAAAAGUAAUCAGAAAUCAGAGGAACUUCCAAAGAAAGCUAUUAUCAUAAUUUUAUUCUUCAAAUUUUAACGUGAAAACAUUUAUUUGAUCUCUUUAGGUUUGUUAAUAAAGACUGUAUAAAAUGUAUUUGAUUGCAGUGUAAAAAAAAACAAAUCUAUUGUCUUAUUUUACCAAGAAUAGAAACAAUAGAUUAUGCAGUCUUUCACAUCCUUUAAACUUGAUAUUUGAUCUCCAUAUUUGGAAUCAACACGAGAUGUAUGUCACUUUGCUCAGAACAGAGAUUAGAUGAAACAGUAAUGACAUUUUCAAUGCUAUCUUAUGCUAUAGUGCACCAAUUAUUUUCCUGAUUUAGCUUCAGCUGCUAUAACAAAAAUCCUAUAAAUUGCAUGGCUUUAAAAACAAACAUUUCUUUCCUACAGUUCCAGAGGCUGAAAGUCCAAGAUCAAGGUACUGCCAGAUACAGUGUCUGGUGAGGACCAAAUUCCUGAUUCAUAGACAGCAGUCUUCUCUCUGUGUCCUCACACAGCAGGAGGGAUUUCCCUGGAGAACACUGCCUAAUACAGUACACAAUAGCUUAAAAAUUGACUUUUAGUCAGAAACUUGACUCUGAUGAAUUGCAAAAGAAACUGCUUUUCUUUUUUUUUUUUUUAUCCUUUGGGAGUUCUUUUAUGUGUCCUAAUUUUAUUUCUAGUAUCUUAGUACAUAAUCACCCAGAGUGUGAAGCAUCCUAACAUGCAGCAAACAGAGCCAAGUCUGUAAUAAAAACAGAUGACUGAGAAAAGAUAUAUAGUAAAUAACAAUGAAGACACACAGGCACAAGGGAAAAACACUGAGGGAAGGCUGUGUGAAGAUAAAAGCAGAGAUUGGAGUUUUUCUGCUACAAGCCAAGGACACCUGGAACCACCAGAAAGUGAAAGAGUGCUUCAUCUUCAGAGAGAUUCACGGAAAGGACUCUGACAAGUACUCUAGAAUACAGGUUUCUGACAACUUUAAUAUCAUAACAAUGAAAUGGGUAAGAAUUUCCAGAACAAAUGGAAAAACUGGAUUUAAGCAGAAUAAGAAUUAAUAACAUGGGAUUGAAUGAACUGAU
rnacentral:lncRNA from 1 species